rnacentral:rRNA from 1 species
AUACGGAGGGUGCAAGCGUUACUCGGAAUCACUGGGCGUAAAGCGCGCGCAGGCGGCUAUUUAAGUUGGAUGUGAAAGCCUACGGCUCAACCGUAGAACUGCAUCCAAAACUAUUUAGCUAGAGUGUGGGAGAGGAAGAUGGAAUUAGUUCUGUAGGGGUAAAAUCCGUAGAGAUAACUAGGAAUACCAAAAGCGAAGGCAAUCUUCUGGAACACUACUGACGCUGAGGCGCGAAAGCGUGGGGAGCAAACAGGAUUAGAAACCCUAGUAGUCC